CGCUGAUACAUUCUUAAAGAGAAGAUGUGAUGAAAGGGAUCCAGAAUGAUAGCCCUUGGGUGGGAUAUUGAUACAAUGUUAGAAAACGGAAGUGAAAGUGAAAGGUCUAUAACGCAUGGUGGAAAAAGGCCAAAGCUGUCAUUGAAAAUUUUCAGACCUGUUUGGUACAAAAGAGGGUUCUCACUAAGAGUGGGACGCAAGCAUAACCAAGAGUGAACAGAUGUUAUGCCGAUCAAGUUAUUGGUAAAAUCAAUGUGGCAGCUUCAGUUUCAGAUGACAAACACCAGCGUCACAUGUUGUUAGAAGGAUUUCCCUGGAACUUCCGUCUGUCAACAGAAAUCUUUAUGAAAUGUGGUUUGAUGUCUAAUUUAAAUAUAGCACCCUGGAAAUUCACCCAUGUACAGUGGAAUGGACAGAAACAUCAUUUGAAUGAAGAAAAAAAA